rnacentral:rRNA from 1 species
GUCUACAGCCACGCCACCCUGAACAAGCCCGAUUCUAUCUGAUCUCGGAAGCUAAGCAGGGUCGGGCCUGGUUAGUACUUGGAUGGGAGACCACCUAGGAAGACCAGGUGCUGAAGACG